rnacentral:rRNA from 1 species
AGUCGAACGGCAGCAUGAUCUAGCUUGCUAGAUUGAUGGCGAGUGGCGAACGGGUGAGUAAUACAUCGGAACGUGCCCUGUAGUGGGGGAUAACUAGUCGAAAGAUUAGCUAAUACCGCAUACGACCUGAGGGUGAAAGUGGGGGACCGCAAGGCCUCAUGCUAUAGGAGCGGCCGAUGUCUGAUUAGCUAGUUGGUGAGGUAAAGGCUCACCAAGGCGACGAUCAGUAGCUGGUCUGAGAGGACGAUCAGCCACACUGGGACUGAGACACGGCCCAGACUCCUAUGGGAGGCAGCAGUGGGGAAUUUUGGACAAUGGGCGAAAGCCUGAUCCAGCAAUGCCGCGUGUGUGAAGAAGGCCUUCGGGUUGUAAAGCACUUUUGUCCGGAAAGAAAUGGCCCUGGUUAAUACCUGGGGUCGAUGACGGUACCGGAAGAAUAAGGACCGGCUAACUACGUGCCAGCAGCCGCGGUAAUACGUAGGGUCCAAGCGUUAAUCGGAAUUACUGGGCGUAAAGCGUGCGCAGGCGGUUGUGCAAGACCGAUGUGAAAUCCCCGAGCUUAACUUGGGAAUUGCAUUGGUGACUGCACGGCUAGAGUGUGUCAGAGGGGGGUAGAAUUCCACGUGUAGCAGUGAAAUGCGUAGAGAUGUGGAGGAAUACCGAUGGCGAA